rnacentral:rRNA from 1 species
GAUGAACGCUGACAGAAUGCUUAACACAUGCAAGUCUUUGGCGAAGCUGUGCUUGCACAGCCUAGCCAAGGCGGACGGGUGAGUAACGCGUAAGGAACUUGCCCUGCAGUCAGGGAUAACAGACGGAAACGACUGAUAAGACCUGGUAAAGUCAGGCGGACUCAUGUCCAGCCUGAUGAAAAGAGAUGCUGCAGGAGAGCCUUGCGUCCUAUUAGCUUGUUGGUGGGGUAACGGCCCACCAAGGCGAUGAUAGGUAGCCGGCCUGAGAGGGUGGACGGCCACAAGGGGACUGAGAUACGGCCCUUACGCCUACGGGAGGCAGCAGUGGGGAAUAUUGGACAAUGGGGGCAACCCUGAUCAAGCAAUUCUGUGUGCACGAUGAAGGUUUUCGGAUUGUAAAGUGCUUUCAGCAGGGAAGAAAAAAAUGACGGUACCUGCAGAAGAAGCGACGGCUAAAUACGUG